rnacentral:rRNA from 1 species
UACGGAGGUGGCAAGCGUUGCUCGGAAUCACUGGGCGUAAAGGGCGCGUAGGCGGGGAUGUAAGUCGGGGGUGAAAUCCCUCGGCCCAACCGAGGAACUGCGCCCGAGACUGCUUCUCUUGAGUCCCGGAGAGGAAGAUGGAAUUCCCGGUGUAGCGGUGAAAUGUGUAGAGAUCGGGAGGAACACCGGUGGCUAAGGCGGUCUUCUGGACGGUGACUGACGCUGAGGCGCGAAAGCGUGGGGAGCAAACGGG